rnacentral:lncRNA from 1 species
GAAACCUUCCUGACUUAUUUAUUUUUUUUGGAAUGUUUGCUACAGGCUAUUCUGUGGAAGGAGUUUGGGAGCCCAGAAACUUUACUUUUAUUAUUAUUUUAUUUUAUUAUUAUUUUAUUUAAUCAGAUUACAAUACCGGGAGACCAGGGAGCCCACACAGGCCCUCCCGGCUGGAGCUCGGCGGGGCAGAGGCUCGCUGCUCCCCCUGCCCGGCGCCGCCGCCAUCUUGUGCCAGCCGCGCUCUGUGGGUGCGGGCAGGGCCAGCCGACGAGGGGCGGCGGCUUUGGCACGCCCGUGGGAGGAGCGGGACGACGACGGGCCCUCCAGAUCCCCCCUCAGGGCUGCACUGCCAGCUGCCGUCACGACAUAAGUCGCGAUAGCGAGCCGCCGCCCCGUUGGGCCUGCCUGGAAGCCCCGGGAGCUGCGCUCCGGCGACGCCACGGCGCGUUGCCUGGCAACCGCCCCGGCUUGCUGCGAGAUGGCGCCCGGCCCCCUCCCGCCAAGCUCCGCACCGCGCGCGUGCGCACUGCAGAAUCCCCGCCCCCUCCGCAAACCGCGCACGAGCCAUUGGCCGCCUGCUCAGCCAAUCGGCGCGCCGUCCUCCUUCCCGCCUCCUUCCGCGCCCGCUUUCGAACGGGCGGGACGGGAGCUCUGCGGCGCAGCCCAACUCUACUGGGGGCGGGAGCGCGUGCCCGUCGUCCCGCCUCCUUCCUGCGCAGCGCGGCGGUGAUUGGCCCUCUCGUCUGUCAGUCGAGGCGGCGGGCGCAGGGUCGGUUGUCACGCGGAAAAGCGGCGGUGCCGGCGGAGGCUGCGGCUGCGGGGCCCGGCGGGUGUCGGCGGCGGGGCCGCGCUGAGGGCACGGGCUCGAGGCUGCCGCCGCCGCCCCGCGCUGCUCCCGGUGCCGUGAGGAGGGCGCUGCCGGCGAGUCCCCGGGCGGUCGAGGCUCGUCGUCACGCAGCUCGGUGGGGAGCCGGCCCGGCGGCUGUGUGCUCGCAGCUCCGGGCGGGAAGGGGCCGUGGUCGGCACCGCAGGGCUUCUGGAACGUAG